GCCUGUAAGUCUCGUUUACUUUCACUUUCGAUUUACCACUUCCGGGUACAUCGGCAGACUUAUUUACCGUUACGCAUAUAGGUAACCCGAAGAACUAGAGGGAUAUAGAAGUUAAAUUUGUUUCGGUCCUCUUCAGAUUUGAAGGAAUGGAUAGCACGGGUCAAAAAAUGCAGAUGUAUAGACAAGGAGGUAUAUGACAAGUAUAGAAUAUAAAGUUGUUCAAUAUGGACCAUUUAUCAACUGUUUGCACUGCCUAUGAUCCUGAAAUAUCUAUACAUCAAAGAUAAAAAGGGAAGGGAUGAAGGAGGAUUUGUCCAUGAAGACCUUUCUUGCAACUACCAUGCAUCUUCCAGUUCCUUAAUUUGAGAAUGAUAUCAGAGAACACACAGUUACAGUGAAAUACUCUAUAUAUACCAAAGUUGAUUAACACACCAGAGAUAAGAUUUUUUCAUAGAAUCACAGUAGAGUCAUAUGACAUUAUGGACAUUAAA